GAUGGGGGCAGGUAGGGUGACUGU
rnacentral:piRNA from 1 species